UUAAGUUCAGCGGGUAGCCCUACCUGAUUUGAGGUCAAUGUCAAAAGAUUGGUGGUUGUGAGCGGGCCUCAGGACCGGCCGAGACGAAACUUAUCACGUCAGGCGUAGGUCGAGAAGUUCCCACUAAGUCAUUUGAGGCGAGCCUUGGGAGGCAGACGCCCAGUUCCAAGUCCACACGGGUGAGAAACCCGUGGGAUUGA
rnacentral:misc_RNA from 1 species